GUGCCCAGAUCUAAGGAAUAGCCACUGGAAACGGUGAGUAAUACCUUAUACGCCCUUCGGGGAAAGAUUUAUCGGAUUUGGAUCGGCCCGCGUUAGAUUAGGUAGUUGGUGGGGUAACGGCCUACCAAGCCUACGAUCUAUAGCUGGUUUUAGAGGAUGAUCAGCAACACUGGGACUGAGACACGGCCCAGACUCCUACGGGAGGCAGCAGUGGGGAAUCUUGGACAAUGGGCGCAAGUGAUCCAGCCAUGCCGCGUGAGUGAUGAAGGCCUUAGGGUCGUAAAGCUCUUUCGCCAGGGAUGAUAAUGACAGUACCUGGUAAAGAAACCCCGGCUAACUCCGUGCCAGCAGCCGCGGUAAUACGGAGGGGGUUAGCGUUGUUCGGAAUUACUGGGCGUAAAGCGUACGUAGGCGGAUCAGAAAGUUGGGGGUGAAAUCCCGGGGCUCAACCCCGAACUGCCUCCAAAACUCCUGGUCUAGAGUUCGAGAGAGGUGAGUGGAAUUCCGAGUGUAGAGGUGAAAUUCGUAGAUAUUCGGAGGAACACCAGUGGCGAAGGGGCUCACUGGCUCGAUACUGACGCUGAGGUACGAAAGUGUGGGGAGCAAACAGGAUUAGAUACCCUGGUAGUCCACACCGUAAACGAUGUAUGCCAGUCGUCGGGUAGCAUGCUAUUCGGUGACACACCUAACGGAUUAAGCAUUCCGCCUGGGGAGUACGGUCGCAAGAUUAAAACUCAAAGGAAUUGACGGGGG
rnacentral:rRNA from 1 species